GACAUAGCUCAGUGGCAGAGUUAUCUGCCUUGCAAGCAGAAGGUCCCAGGUUCAGUUCCUGAUGGCAUCU